CUGUUUCUAAGAUGAAUUUUGUGGUGCUUUAUUCAUUGUCUCUGAGGUGACACAUCGAGGAUUAAAGCGGGGCUCAUUUUAAGUCCUUCAAAAGGUUAUCUAGAAGGUUACAGCAUAUAGACAUCAUGGAAGUCUAAUAUUUUAUAUUUCUUAUUAUAUUUAAAACGUUUUAUCUUUUAUAACCGUUUUGGGUUCACAUUUCUCCGUGAAUAAGUGUACAUCCAGACGUCGAGUUUGUUCGUUUGUUUCCUCGAAGGAGGAAAGCACAAGAGCAGAAGCCUGGAGAUACACGCUGAUCAGAUCGGUCAUGUCUCUUCUGCUUCAACCUUCCAGUCGGCAGCUCUGUGGAAACGACGCUCUGUGUUUGUGCUUGGAAAUGUAAACUCCCACUGAGACAGGAGGAAAAUGCAACACGCGUGUCAUUUAGGACAAAUGGGACAAAUGCCAACCGAGUCACCUCAACUCUCAAUGUUUGAUGUCUGUUUGUGUUCAUGUCAAACAGCAGAGCUCCAUCUGCCAUUCCUCAGCCAGGGAGCCAGCUAGCUGUCAUCAAUCAAUCGAAUCAAUCAUCUGACAGCUACUUGGUUCACAGGUGAGGUACGAACUUGAGUUCGACUGAUAUGGGAAGACUAAUCAGCACUGGCCAGUAUUCUGUACCAACAAUCAGUUCAAGUUCAAACGGACCUUUACAGACACUCAACGAUGAUCUGUCCCCUGCUAGGAAGUUAACCCUGUACAUACUCCAGGUCACCGUGACGUAGUGAGGCUUAGGGGUGGGAUCUCUCUCUCUGUGCUUAAUUUCAUCUAAUUUAUUUAUUUUAACUUAUUGUUUUUUGUUUCCUCUUUGACUUUAUUUGGAAGAUAGGUUUCUGAAAAUGUACUUGGUUUGCAUGAGGUUAGAAUACAAUCCAACCUGUACACUGACCAUGAGAGGGCCACUGGUGAUCUGAUAGAUCACGAUUGGUUAGUCACGAGGAGCUGAUUUACAGAUGUACAGAGUACAUUUACAGAUUUACUUUCUUGUUGUGAAUAAAACCCAGACAGGAGUCUAAAAACUCCACGAGUGCCCGAGUAUCAGUCUAACCCAAGAUGAAGCUAAUCAGGAGCCAGAAAUCAUGACUGUGAACUUCACCAUCAGCCAUAUAACAGUAGGUCUGUCGUGUUUGUCUGCCAGGAACCCCUCCAGGACAGACGAGUUCACCACCUUUUCCAUCAGACAAUAGACGAUAUGCAGUCUUGUAUAUUUGUGUUAAUAUGAGACGAUAUGCUCACAGUUUACUGUGGGAUGUGUUGUACAUUUAUCCAGCCUGUGCUGCAGGCUGAAGGCGACCAUGGAAAGUUUUGAGAUUUAAGCUUUGAUUGGUUUCCAUUUCCCAUCAUAAAUAUUGUCUUUGUACAUUAACAUAUACUUUUUAUGUUCAUAUACUGUUUAACUUUACCAUGAACUGUCCUGGC
ensembl:lncRNA